CCUACGGGCGGCAGCAGUGGGGAAUAUUGCGCAAUGGGCGAAAGCCUGACGCAGCGACGCCGCGUGAGGGAUGAAGGUCUUCGGAUCGUAAACCUCUGUCAGCAGGGAAGAACGGACACUGUGUUAAUCAGCAGUGAAUUGACGGUACCUGCAAAGGAAGCACCGGCUAACUCCGUGCCAGCUGCCGCGGUAAUACGGAGGGUGCGAGCGUUAAUCGGAAUUACUGGGCGUAAAGCGCUCGUAGGCGGUAUGUCAAGUCAAGGGUGAAAUCCCCGCGCUCAACGUGGGAGCUGCCGGUGAAACUGGCGAGCUGGAGUGUGUGAGAGGAUAGUGGAAGUCCGGGUGUAGGAGUGAAAUCCGUAGAUAUCAGGAGGAACAUCAGUGGCGAAGGCGACUCUCUGGCACGUAACUGACGCUGAGGAGCGAAAGCGUGGGUAGCAAACAGGAUUAGAUACCCUGGUAGUC
rnacentral:rRNA from 1 species